rnacentral:rRNA from 1 species
AUUGAACGCUGGCGGCAGGCCUAACACAUGCAAGUCGAACGAGUGGCGGACGGGUGAGUAAUGUCUGGGAAACUGCCUGAUGGAGGGGGAUAAAUACUGGAAACGGUAGCUAAUAACGCAUACAAUAGGAGGUGACCAGAUGGGAUUAGCUAGUAGGUUGGGGAACGGCUCACCUAGGAGACGAUCCCUAGCGGGUCUGAGAGGCUGACCAGCCACACUGGAACUGAGACACGGUCCAGACUCCUACGGGAGGCAGCAGUGGGGAAUAUUGCACAAUGGGCGCAAGCCUGCUGCAGCCAUGCCGCGUGUAUGAAGAAGUCCUUCGGGUUGUAAAGUACUUUCAGCGGGGAGGCGUUACCCGCAGAAGAAGCACCGGCUAACUCCGUGCCAGCAGCCGCGGUAAUAC